rnacentral:lncRNA from 1 species
CCCUAAGUCAUUUGUAUUGUUCAUACUGGAUAAAAUAAGCAUAUCUCUAUUUCUUAUACUCAUAUUUAUAUCGUCACCAGAAAGAAGCCAAAUCUUGUGCCUAAAUCACUUAAUGCAUUGGCCAUUUUAUAUUUUUCCAUCACAAAGUUUGGAGAGACAGUCAGAUACCUGCACAUACAAGCAUAAACAACGCAUCAGAGGGAAAAGCUUAUUGAACAAGUAAUUAACUAAGCAACUUUCAUAACAAGAAAUUUCUGACUCCAGAUCCCCAUGAAUUUUUGUAGAUAACACCCAUGUUGCAUUAUGCACACAUGGGUCUUUAUAUAUGAUCAUAAUCUAUAUAAUAACAGCUAAAAAUACAGGUAUUAACAAUCCUUCUUUUUUCUUCAGGGGUAUAGCAAAAGUCACUAGUGUCAUUUUGAGCACCUCACUCUAACAUAUAUACCAGCAUAUUCUAAAGCCAAUGUUGGAAAGAAAAGAAUUAGAAAGCAAUACAAUCCUAAUGACAUAUGCAGGCGACAUGCCACUUAAAUUUCUAAUAUCUCUCUUUGGAGAGUAAUUCUAAAAAUUACAGUCAACAUCCAACAACACAGACACAGAAAAACUAAAGUUAAAGAAAUAUAUAUAAAAGACCAAAAGACCAGACAAAUUAGAAUAAAACCAACAAGUGCAGAAUUACUAACCACUGAUCUUGGAUCAAAUAUAUGCCUAGAAAGAUCAGACAGCAUGGGAAACUAAUAAUGCUCAGCCAAUUUGCAAGUUUCAUCUACUAGGCUAUCUACAACAAAGAACAUAUCGAUAUAAGGCCC